rnacentral:rRNA from 1 species
CCGUUGCCGGCGACCGGCGCACGGGUGAGUAACACGUAUGCGACCUGCCCGUAGCAGGGGGAUAAGCGGAAGAAAUUCCGUCUAAUACCGCGUAAUAUCUUUCGGGGGCAUUCCUGAGGGAUUAAAGGAAGCGAUUCCGGCUACGGAUGGGCAUGCGGCGCAUUAGCUAGUCGGCGGGGUAACGGCCCACCGAGGCGACGAUGCGUAGGGGUUCUAAGAGGAAGGUCCCCCACACUGGUACUGAGACACGGACCAGACUCCUACGGAAGGCAGCAG